rnacentral:rRNA from 1 species
UACGAAGGGUGCAAACGUUGCUCGGAAUUAUUGGGCGUAAAGCGCACGUAGGCGGCUUUGCAAGUCGGAUGUGAGAUCCCUCGGCUCAACUGAGGAAGUGCAUCCGAAACUGGCAAGCUUGAGUACGAAAGAGGGUCGCGGAAUUCCCGGUGUAGAGGUGAAAUUCGUAGAUAUCGGGAGGAACACCGGUGGCGAAGGCGGCGACCUGGGUCGAUACUGACGCUGAGGUGCGAAAGCGUGGGGAGCAAACAGG